UAAGGAAUAUUGCUCAAUGGGAGAAAUCCUGAAGCAGCAACGCCGCGUGGAGGAUGAAGGGUCUAUGACUUGUAAACUCCUGUAAAGAAGGAAAAAAUUCCCAUUUGAUGGGAGAUGAUGGUACUUCUGGAGUAAGCCCCGGCUAACUACGUGCCAGCAGCCGCGGUAAUACGUAGGGGGCAAGCGUUUUCCGGAUUUACUGGGUGUAUAGGGUGCUCAGGCGGAUUUGUAAGUCAGAGGUGAAAUCUUACAGCUUAACUGUGAAACUGCCUUUGAUACUGCAAGCCUAGAGUAUGGAAGAGAGUGAUGGAAUAUCUGGUGUAGCAGUGAAAUGCGUAGAUAUCAGAUAGAACACCAAUGGCGAAGGCAGUCACUUGGUCCAUUACUGACGCUAAAGCACGAAAGCGUGGGUAGCAAACA
rnacentral:rRNA from 1 species